rnacentral:lncRNA from 1 species
CAUAUCCAAAUAAAUUCAAGCAAGCCAAUGUUUGGUUAAUCUAAAUAGGAGAUUAUACAUGUUAAACAAAAAUUAAAGAAGAAAAUGAAGAUUUUGAUGAAGAAUCACCUGGAGGAUUGUUAUUUUGCAAGAAUGCAGAGACCUUUGACUCCAUGUCUAAUUCUUUGAAUUCACAAAUUGCAAUUAAUUUUUAGACUAUUCAAA